UACGAAGGGGGCUAGCGUUGCUCGGAAUCACUGGGCGUAAAGGGCGCGUAGGCGGCCGAUCAAGUCAGGGGUGAAAGCCUGUGGCUCAACCACAGAAUUGCCUUUGAUACUGUUCGGCCCGAGACCGGAAGAGGUAAGUGGAACUGCGAGUGUAGAGGUGAAAUUCGUAGAUAUUCGCAAGAACACCAGUGGCGAAGGCGGCUCACUGGCCCGGUACUGACGCUGAGGCACGAAAGCGUGGGGAGCAAACAGG
rnacentral:rRNA from 1 species